GAAGGACGACGGCCCUAUGGGUUGUAAACUUCUUUUGUAUAGGGAUAAACCUUUCCACGUGUGGAAAGCUGAAGGUACUAUACGAAUAAGCACCGGCUAACUCCGUGCCAGCAGCCGCGGUAAUACGGAGGGUGCAAGCGUUAUCCGGAUUUAUUGGGUUUAAAGGGUCCGUAGGCGGAUCUGUAAGUCAGUGGUGAAAUCUCAUAGCUUAACUAUGAAACUGCCAUUGAUACUGCAGGUCUUGAGUAAAGUAGAAGUGGCUGGAAUAAGUAGUGUAGCGGUGAAAUGCAUAGAUAUUACUUAGAACACCAAUUGCGAAGGCAGGUCACUAUGUUUUAACUGACGCUGAUGGACGAAAGCGUGGGGAGCGAACAGGAUUAGAUACCCUGGUAGUCCACGCCGUAAAUGAUGCUAACUCGUUUUUGGGCUUUCGGGUUCAGAGACUAAGCGAAAGUGAUAAGUUAGCCACCUGGGGAGUACGUUCGCAAGAAUGAAACUCAAAGGAAUUGACGGGGGCCCGCACAAGCGGUGGAUUAUGUGGUUUAAUUCGAUGAUACGCGAGGAACCUUACCAAGGCCUAAAUGGGAAUUGACAGGUUUAGAAAUAGACUUUUCUUCGGACAAUUUUCAAGGUGCUGCAUGGUUGUCGUCAGCUCGUGCCGUGAGGUGUUAGGUUAAGUCCUGCAACGAGCGCAACCCCUGUCACUAGUUGCCAUCAUUCAGUUGGGGACUCUAGUGAGACUGCCUACCCAG
rnacentral:rRNA from 2 species